AUUGAACGCUGGCGGCAGGCCUAACACAUGCAAGUCGAACGAGUGGCGGACGGGGGAGUAAUGUCUGGGAAACUGCCCGAUGGAGGGGGAUAACUACCGGACACGGUAGCUAAUACCGCAUACCAUCGGAUGUGCCCAGAGGGGAAUCGCUAGGAGGUGGGGUAACGGCUCACCUAGGCGACGAUCCCUAGCUGGUCUGAGAGGAUGACCAGCCACACGGGAACUGUGACACGGUCCAGACUCCUACGGUAGGCAGCAGUGGGGAAUAGUGCACAAUGGGCGCAAGCCUGAUGCAGCCAUGCCGCGUGUAUGAAGAAGGCCUUCGGGUUGUAAAGUACUUUCAGCGAGGAGGCGUUACUCGCAGAAGAAGCACCGGCUAACUCCGUGCCAGCAGCCGCGGUAAUUC
rnacentral:rRNA from 1 species